rnacentral:rRNA from 1 species
AUUGAACGCUGGCGGCAGGCCUAACACAUGCAAGUCGAACGAGGGGCGGACGGGUGAGUAAUGUCUGGGAAACUGCACGAUGGAGGGGGAUAACUACUGGAAACGGUAGCUAAUACCGCAUACCAUCGGAUGUGCCCAGAUGGGAUUAGCUUGUAGGUGGGGUAACGGCGCACCAGGGCGACGACCCCUAGCUGGUCGUAGAGGAUGACCAGCCACACGGGAACUGAGACAGGGUCCAGACUCGUACGGGAGGCAGCAGUGGGAAAUAGUGCACAAUGGGGGCAAGCCUGAUGCAGCCAUGCCGCGUGUAUGAAGAAGGCCUUCGGGUUGUAAAGUACUUUCAGCGAGGAGGCGUUACUCGCAGAAGAAGCACCGGCUAACUCCGUGCCAGCAGCCGCGGUAAUUC